rnacentral:rRNA from 1 species
UACGGGGGGGAGCAAGCGUUGUUCGGAUUUACUGGGCGUAAAGGGCGCGUAGGCGGCGUGACAAGUCACUUGUGAAAUCUCCGGGCUUAACUCGGAACGGUCAAGUGAUACUGUCGUGCUAGAGUACAGAAGGGGCAACUGGAAUUCUCGGUGUAGCGGUGAAAAUGCGUAGAUAUCGAGAGGAACACCUGCGGCGAAGGCGGGGUUGCUGGGGCUGAUACUACGUGAGGCGCGAAAAGCUAGGGGGAGCGAACGGG